CUGCCCGGUGCGCGGAAUGGUAAAGUGAAGAAGAAAUUCAACCAACCGCGGGUAAACGGCGGCGGGAGUAGCUAUGAGUCUCUUUAGGUAGACAAAGGCCUCGUCAUCGUAUUAGUGACGCGCAUGCGUG
rnacentral:ncRNA from 1 species